ACGGAGGAUGCAAGCGUUAUCCGGAAUCAUUGGGUUUAAAGGGUCCGUAGGCGGUUUAAUAAGUCAGUGGUGAAAGCCCAUCGCUCAACGGUGGAACGGCCAUUGAUACUGUUAAACUUGAAUGAUUAGGAAGUAACUAGAAUAUGUAGUGUAGCGGUGAAAUGCUUAGAUAUUACAUGGAAUACCAAUUGCGAAGGCAGGUUACUACCAAUUUAUUGACGCUGAUGGACGAAAGCGUGGGGAGCGAACAGGAUUAGAUACCCUGGUAGUCCACGCCGUAAACGAUGGAUACUAGCUGUUGGGAGCAAUCUCAGUGGCUAAGCGAAAGUGAUAAGUAUCCCACCUGGGGAGUACGUUCGCAAGAAU
rnacentral:rRNA from 1 species